rnacentral:rRNA from 1 species
UACGUAGGGUGCGAGCGUUGUCCGGAAUUAUUGGGCGUAAAGAGCUUGUAGGCGGUUUGUCGCGUCUGCUGUGAAAAUCCGGGGCUUAACCCCGGACCUGCAGUGGGUACGGGCAGACUAGAGUGUGGUAGGGGAGACUGGAAUUCCUGGUGUAGCGGUGAAAUGCGCAGAUAUCAGGAGGAACACCGAUGGCGAAGGCAGGUCUCUGGGCCGAUACUGACGCUGAGGAGCGAAAGCGUGGGGAGCGAACAGG